GCCAAAUUAGUUUGAAAUACCGGUUCUCGGACGAUCAUUUAAGUUAAGCAACAUCGAGCCCAGUAAGUACCUAGCUGGGUGACCGCUUGGAAAUAUCAGGUGCUGUAAU